rnacentral:rRNA from 1 species
GACGAACGCUGGCGGCGUGCCUAAUACAUGCAAGUUGAGCGCUGAAGGUUGGUACUUGUACCAACUGGAUGAGCAGCGAACGGGUGAGUAACGCGUGGGGAAUCUGCCUUUGAGCGGGGGACAACAUUUGGAAACGAAUGCUAAUACCGCAUAAAAACUUUAAACACAAGUUUUAAGUUUGAAAGAUGCAAUUGCAUCACUCAAAGAUGAUCCCGCGUUGUAUUAGCUAGUUGGUGAGGUAAAGGCCCACCCAGGCAAUGAUGCAUAGCCGACCUGAGAGGGUGAUCGGCCACGCUGGAGCUGAGACACGGACCAGACUCCUACAGGAGGCAGCAGUAGGGAAUCUUCCGCGAUGGGCGAAAGCCUGACGGAGAAACGACGCGUGAGUGAUGAAGGUCUUCGGAUCGUAAAACUCUGUUAUUAGGGAAGAACAUAUGUGUAAGUAACUGUGCACAUCUUGACGGUACCUAAUCAGAAAGCCACGGCUAACUACGUG